rnacentral:tRNA from 1 species
UCCGUUGUCGUCCAGCAGUUAGGAUAUCUGGCUUUCACCCAGGAGACUUGGGUUCAAUUCCCAGCAACGGAA